AAACUAACAAGGAUUCCCCUAGUAACGGCGAGUGAAGCGGGAUGAGCUCAAGCUUAAAAUCUCUGUGCCAGUUUGGCAUGGCGAAUUGUAGUCUAUGGAGGCGCUGUCAGUGCGAUUGUUCGGGGUAAGUUCCUUGGAAGAGGACAGCAUCGAGGGUGAUACUCCCGUAUGUACCUGUUCAGUUGCGCGUACGACACGUUUUCUUUGAGUCGCGUUGUUUGGGAAUGCAGCGCAAAGUAGGUGGUAAAUUCCAUCUAAAGCUAAAUAUUGGUGCGAGACCGAUAGCGAACAAGUACCGUGAGGGAAAGAUGAAAAGAACUUUGAAAAGAGAGUUAAAGAGUACCUGAAACUGCUGAAAGGGAACCGAAUCGUAUCCAGUGUCUAUAAUCCAUGGCAUAUUUCAUUGGCGAGUGAGUGCGUGCAGCGUUUUGGAAGUGGUUUUCCGCUCCUGUCGUUGUUGUGCAUUUGCUUGCUGGUGCCCUGUGCUGUGGUGGGACGUCAGAGUCAGUUUGUAUGUUGCGGGAAAUGGUUAUUGGGGAGGUAGGUCACUUCGGUGGCUGUUAUAUCCUGGUAACUAGUCGUCGUGGCUGAGACUGAGGUGCCUACAAUGUGCUUUCGAGUGUGCGGGAUUCUCGUGUGGCUGUUUGCUUUGAUAGCUUGCUAUGUUGGUGAAUAAGUCGUGCGAUUGAGACUUGUAUUAACUUGUUGCCGUUCGGGACUUUGACGAAAUGGAGCGAUCCGAC
rnacentral:rRNA from 1 species